AAGGUCCUUCUCUGAAGAGAAAGAGAAGGCGCACCACUGGGAAGGGCAAAGUACGCGUGCCCGAAGAGAAUGAAGGGGUCCCUCCUCCCUUGGAUAUUAACUUCGAGGAGACCUUGACUGUGGACCGUGGUGCUCAAAAUCCACGACGUAGGACGGGCCGGCGCUCUGAAAGAACUCCGCCACCUCCCGUGGAUCUGAAUGCUAGUCGAGACCCGGACCUCGACUUAAAUACAUAUGUCGGAGCUUUGAACCCCUCUGGGUUCGCUCAUUGUGAA
rnacentral:lncRNA from 1 species